rnacentral:rRNA from 1 species
AGCAGGCGCGCAAAUUACCCAAUCCCGACACGGGGAGGUAGUGACAAUAAAUAACAAUACGGGGUUCUUUCGGAUCUCGUAAUUGGAAUGAGUACAAUUUAAAUCUCUUAACGAGGAACAAUUGGAGGGCAAGUCUGGUGCCAGCAGCCGCGGUAAUUCCAGCUCCAAUAGCGUAUAUUAAAGUUGUUGCAGUUAAAAAGCUCGUAGUUGAAUUUCGGGAUNAGANNGUCGGUCGUGCCUCGGUACGCACUGGCAUUAUUGGUUCCUACCUUCUGAAGAACCGCGAUGUCAUUAAUUUGGUGUCGUGGGGAAUCAGGACUGUUACUUUGAAAAAAUUAGAGUGUUUAAAGCAGGCGCACGCUUGAAUACAUUAGCAUGGAAUAAUGAAAUAGGACGUUUGAUUCUAUUUUGUUGGUUUCUAGGAUCGACGUAAUGAUUAAUAGGGAUAGUUGGGGGCAUUAGUAUUCAAUUGUCAGAGGUGAAAUUCUUGGAUUUAUUGAAGACUAACUACUGCGAAAGCAUUUGCCAAGGAUGUUUUCAUUAAUCAAGAACGAAAGUUAGGGGAUCGAAGACGAUCAGAUACCGUCGUAGUCUUAACCAUAAACUAUGCCGACUAGGGAUCGGAUGAUGUUGAUUUUAUAAUGACUCAUUCGGCGCCUUACGGGAAACCAAAGUGUUUGGGUUCA